rnacentral:rRNA from 1 species
AUGGCCGCAGUAUUUUGACUGUGCAAAGGUAGCAUAAUUAUUAGUUUUUUAAUUGUAAACUUGUAUGAAUGGUUGGACGAAAUAAAGGCUGUCUUUAUUUAAAUUAUAGUAGAAUUUAACUUUUAAGUCAAAAGGCUUAAAUGUUUAUAAAAGACGAGAAGACCCUAUAGAUCUUUAUUUAAUUGAGGCUUUAUUAGCUUAGGAUUAUUUUAAUUUAAAGUUUUAAUUAAAUUUUAUUGGGGUAAUAUAAAGAUUAAAAAAAUUCUUUUAAUUUAUUACAUAAAUUUGUGAAUACAUGAUCCAAUAAUAUUGAUUAUAAGAUUAAGUUACCUUAGGGAUAACAGCGUAAUUUUUUUGGAGAGCUCAUAUCGAUAAAAAAGUUUGCGACCUCGAUGUUGGAUUAAAAAUUAUUUUGGGUGCAGGAGCUCAAAAUUUUGGUCUGUUCGACCAUUAAAUUUUUACAUGAUCUGAGUUCAGACCGGCGUAAGCCAGGUCGGUUUCUAUCUUUAUUAAAAUAAAAUAUUUUAGUACGAAAGGACCAAGUAUUUAAUAUAAUUAUAUUUAUUUUUUGAAUAACAUU